GCUCUCCAGUUUUUGUUCUCUCUCUUGUGAGUUUUGUGUAAUAUGUGAUUCCUAUAAAUGCCUCUCACCAUUACCAUACAGUUGUAGAGUGAUGCACAUAUGGUGUUGAUAAGGAAAUCUUUUGCGAGGCAUUAUUUGGUUCUUAAACUCUUCAUUAUUUCAACGUAUUUCAUGCAUUGCAACAGACAUGGGGUGGUCUUCUGUUUUGAAACCAUGACAAGCUUGAACCAAUGACCUGAUCGAGAAAAAAAUCAUUGGCGGAUUUGAGAGGAGUUGACUCGAUGAGCAGGAAAACUACUAUCAAUUGAUAGGAAUCAUCAUGCAUCAUCAAUAAACCAUGGGGUUGGGCACUUGGGCAUGUCACACAACAAAAUGAUGAAGGAAUUUGCAUUGGAGGUUUGAGAAGAAUGCAAGUCGAUAUUAUUUUUACUUUCUUUUUUCCUGACAAGCAGUUGAUCAGAUGUGCUUAAUCCACCGAUUUAUUGUUUGAGAAAUUUGAGAAGCCUAAAAUAUCAGGUUGGUAAUUUGAAGGCAACCGAUUCUUUAUAUUUUCUCCCUUGAUUGAAACUGUUUAAAAGGUUUAAAGUUUUGAAGAAGUUCUCUGCCUCUGCCUCUACAAAAACAGGGUGCAGUACUGUUGCUCAAUAAAAAACAGAGCAACAAAAAAAGAAGAAGAAGAGAAGACCAGAAGAAGAAAGAAAAAAAACAGAGAAUAAAAAGACUCUCUGUCCUUUUUUUUUGCUGCACUGUUGCUCGACAACAAACAGAGCAAAAAAUUAGAAAGAUGAAGAGAAGAUCAGAAGAAAAGAAAAAUGAAAAAAAAACAGAGCAAUAGACAACUCUGUUCUGCACUGUUGCUCGGCAAAAAACAUAGCAAAAAAUAGAAAGAAGAAGAGAAGAAGAAGGAAAAAGAAGAAAGAAAGAGAGGAGAAAGAAGAAGAGAAGCUUACCUGGGCUGGGUGGACUUGUGUGCUAUGUUGUUUGAAGGUUGAAGAAGAAAGAAACGUGAAAUCACUGCAAGCCCUAAUAUUUUAAGCCCUAAUCUGCGCCUUUUUCGUUCUUUUUUUUUUCUUCAAAAAGCGACGCCACAGCUUGCCUCUCGCUACACAAGCAAAGGCGCUCGCCUUUUACAAUUGCAAUGCAACAGAGGCAAAAUAACGCAGGCUGCUCGCAUCGCCUCGCCUCACGCUAUUAGCGCUGAGGCGAGCGCUAUUUAUAACACUGCAAUUACCAUAGCCCUUUGUUAGUUUUUUUGUCAAUAAAAAGAUUUCAUGUCUUUUAUUCAUUACUCUAUCCCUUUAUACAUCGUAUCUGUUAGAACACUGAAGUAUUUACAUGAAUGUACUCCUUUUUUAUAUGAUAUCCUGGAUACUCUUGGAAAAUUAA